rnacentral:lncRNA from 1 species
AUGCAGGUACCUCCAGCGCUCCCUCCUGCCUCACGUUCGGCCCCGGUCCCUGCUGAUCUACCCCAGGCCCCUUGUAUCCACCCCAGGCUUCUGAACUUGCCCCAGUGGGGUGAAGACCAAAAGAGGGUGAUGUCCUUCCUUCCUGUCUCUCUCUCCCUUAAAAUGCAGCUGGUGAUUCCAGAGAUCUGGUGGGCAACUCUCAACAAGAAGCAGCAGCAGUGGAUUGACCAGACGCUGUUUACCAGGAGCUGCCUACAGAGCUCCCAGUUCAUCACUGUCCUUUCCCUGGUGGGGUGGAGACCAGAAGAGGGUGAUGUCCUUCCUGUCUCCAAGGCCUGCCUCAGAAAGUGCUGGGUACCCAACCAGGAGCUGCCUACAGAGCUCCCAGUUCAUCACUGUCCUUUCCCUGGUGGGGUGGAGACCAGAAGAGGGUGAUGUCCUUCCUGUCUCCAAGGCCUGCCUCAGAAUGUGCUGAGGUGAGUUUUUAUAAUAAAUGAGAAGCUUAGAAAUGGUAAUAAUAAUAUUUUCUUCUCUCAUGAUCUAUCAAUGCCUCAAUGUUCACCCAGUGGCAUCCUUUUUAACUAAAUUAUUAUAUAUUCUGUGAUGAUAUCUGGGAGAAGAUGAGUCCUGUCUGGUAUAAUUAGUGGUCAGACUGGACAAGGAGGGUUGGAUAAACUCCUCUGUAUGAAGAUGAGUCCUGUCUGGUAUAAUUAGUGGUCAGACUGGACAAGGAGGGUUGGAUAAACUCCUCUGUAUGAAGAUGAUUCCUGUCUGGUAUAAUUAGUGGUCAGACUGGACAAGGAGGGUUGGAUAAACUCCUCUGUAUGUGGAACAGGUGGAACUAUUUAGAAUGUGUAACAAUCAAACCUCCCUAUUGGCUGUGUUCCACAUUCUAAAGUAGAACCAUCAUUUUACUUGCUGAAAUAUUGUCCAGAAAUGACCUCAUUGGACAGAAAGGGGAACUCCUCCCCUCACGCAUGUUGAACAAAUAUAAUGUUUCCCUGAAACAAAGGAUUCCUGUAGUUUCAUGAAAUAAGAAAUGUAUUCAUAGUAUAUCAUCCAACAUUCAGUAGCAACACUGCUAAGAGGUUUUGUUUAAAUCCAUUGAUGACUUUUAGUUUUAUUGAAGAAGAAAAAGGGUUUUGAGGCCCUAAAGUAAAUAUUCUAUCCUCCUGUCUUUUUGUUAAAUUAUUGACCUGUGGAACAUUCACCUACUGGGUCAAUUAUAACAUUUAAUAUCCUCCACUUGGUUGAAUUGUAAAUGACUGGUAGGUCCUGGGAACAUACUUAGUGUGUAAUGGUAGCUGGGAUAUGUUGUUUGUAUAAAAAUAUGAUGAAUCUAACUUAAAUAAUAUUUUCAUAAUAAACUAAAGUGUAAAAGUGUUAGUUUGUUCCCCAGUCUCCUCUACUCUGACUGAGAAAAGGCCUCCUCAACUGAAGAAUCUACAGCUGCUGAGUCUGAGGUGUUAAUCAGUCCAGUGCUGCUCUGACCACAGUGUUGUUAGGAACCACAUUUUCUAAUGCUACAUACACAGCCUUGUGUCAACUCUUACUGUGAACUACUUCAGUUUCUGGAAAUAAACUCAGCAGAGGUCAG